rnacentral:rRNA from 1 species
GACGAACGCUGGCGGCGUGCUUAACACAUGCAAGUCGAACGGAGAAUUUAUUUCGGUAAAUUCUUAGUGGCGAACGGGUGAGUAACGCGUAGGCAACCUGCCCUUUGGAUGGGGACAACAUUCCGAAAGGAGUGCUAAUACCGAAUGUGAUCCAUCUCUCGCAUGAGAGAUGGAUGAAAGAUGGCCUCUAUUUAUAAGCUAUCGCCAAAGGAUGGGCCUGCGUCUGAUUAGUUAGUUGGUGGGGUAACGGCUCACCAAGACGAUGAUCAGUAGCCGGUCUGAGAGGAUGAACGGCCACAUUGGGACUGAGACACGGCCCAAACUCCUACGGGAGGCAGCAGUGGGGAAUCUUCCGCAAUGGACGAAAGUCUGACGGAGCAACGCCGCGUGAGUGAUGAAGGUUUUCGGACUGUAAAACUCUGUUGUCAGGGACGAAGGUGCGAUCUGCGAAUAGUUGAUCGUAUUGACGGUACCUGACGAGGAAGCCACGGCUAACUACGUG